rnacentral:rRNA from 1 species
AUUGAACGCUGGCGGCGUGCCUAACACAUGCAAGUCGAGCGGUAACAGGUGUAGCAAUACAUGCUGACGAGCGGCGGACGGGUGAGUAACGCUUGGGAAUCUGCCUAUUAGUGGGGGACAACCCGGGGAAACUCGGGCUAAUACCGCAUACGCUCUACGGAGGAAAGCCGGGGACCGCAAGGCCUGGCGCUAAUAGAUGAGCCCAAGUCGGAUUAGCUAGUUGGUAGGGUAAGGCCUACCAAGGCGACGAUCCGUAACUGGUCUGAGAGGACGACCAGUCACACCGGAACUGAGACACGGUCCGGACUCCUACGGGAGGCAGCAGUGGGGAAUAUUGGACAAUGGGCGAAAGCCUGAUCCAGCGACGCCGCGUGGGUGAAGAAGGCCUGCGGGUUGUAAAGCCCUUUCAGUGGGGAAGAAAGCUCGACCUAACACGUCGGGGUCUUGACGUAACCAUAGAAGAAGCACCGGCUAACUCUGUGCCAGCAGCCGCUGU